rnacentral:rRNA from 1 species
CAGCAGCCGCGGUAAUACGUAGGUGGCAAGCGUUAUCCGGAAUUAUUGGGCGUAAAGAGGGAGCAGGCGGCAGCNAAGGUCUGUGGUGAAAGCCUGAAGCUUAACUUCAGUAAGCCAUAGAAACCAGGCAGCUAGAGUGCAGGAGAGGAUCGUGGAAAUUCCAUGUGUAGCGGUGAAAUGCGUAGAUAUAUGGAGGAACACCAGUGGCGAAGGCGACGAUCUGGCCUGCNACUGNCGCUCAGUCCCGAAAGCGUGGGGNGCAAAUAGGAUUAGAUACCCUNGUAGUCCACGCCGUAAACGAUGNGUACUANGUGUUGGNUGUCAAA